rnacentral:lncRNA from 1 species
GAACGUUUUCUCAUUUCCAUGUCCAGAAAGAUAUAUUCCUGCUACCCUCCUGAAGUCAGAGGAUGAAAUCAUAGUCAAUACAUCUUUGCAGAUAAACUGUUAGAUUUCAUACUAGGACCUUUCAGUGGCUGAACAAAGACAAAGACAGAAAUCAAGGAAGGUCAAAGAAGCAGUCAAUUUUCUGGCACCCAAAGUUGUUGGAGAAGGGUACAGAGUCGGUAAAUAAGCCAUAUGACAGACAGGCAGUAUUUUCUUAUUUUAAUAACAAGUUUAAAAAUCCCACUUCUUGUACUUACCUUCUGUCUGAUGUCAUCAGUAUUUUAAGAUGCCAACUGGGAACAAGUUCAACACUGCAUUACUGAAGAAUCCAGAUUAUCUACAUCUCACGUGCCAAAUGAAAGAAAGAACCCAGAAAAUAAAACAAUAUGAUGAUAA